GUAUUUGCAUUUUGCUAGGAAGUGAAUUCAAUUGUUGUGUAUCUAAGGCCUAUUAAUCUUUUAUUAAGGGAUGCUCUUGUGAUGGAAAUGUUGGAGUAAAAUUGGAAGAACAAGUCUUGAUUUCCAGGGCCUGAGCACCUGUCCUCAUGGCAGACAGGAGGAAUCUGACUGAAGCAGUUCCAAGACUGCACAUGGAGAACACUUCUUGCCAUUUUUGGAAGGAGCAUAGGGCAGCAAGGGCUGUGCUGUGCCUGUGGAAGCAUGCCCAGGGCAAACACUGGACACACUUCAAACCACUCCUUGGGAAGGUCCUGCUUUGCUGAAGGACAGAGCAGCGUCCCAGCCAAGACAAAAUGAAGCACUUACAUGAUCCUGCUGGAGGAAGGAUUAUUAGCCAAUUCCCUCCAAAGGAACAGUGGAAGAAAAGGCAGUUAAAGAUUUUUCUUCAAAAUAAACCCAUGCCCAGAAUGGAUGAGUUCUGUGUUGCUGCUGACAAGCAUCCUAAGGUGAGACAACUCAAUUGCAAUUUAAGGCAAUAAAGCCAAUAAAGGGGGAGGAACAGAAACCCUGCAUUAGUGAACUACCCUAAACAAGCACAGAAUGAGCCAGGGGCAAGUUAACAGAAACCAGACAAAUAAAUAGACACAGCUUCAAAAGGAGAGUGGGAUAAGAAAAAGAGAGUUAGGGAAAAGACCUAAUCAAAGAAAGAGGAAGGAACAAAAACAGAAACUCCCACAAAUGAAAAAAAAUGCUGAUUCUCACCACUCUGACCAUGUGGAGGGGUAUGGGUAUAUGUCCUGAAAAUACAAGUUAGGUUUCACCAGAGUAAAAAUCCAAGUGCCAAAAUAUGACAGGCAAGUAAUAAGAACUGUAAGGAGAUGGAAAUUGAA